GGCGGCGUGCCUAACACAUGCAAGUCGAACGAGAAAGUGGAGCAAUCCAUGAGUAAAGUGGCGCACGGGUGAGUAACACGUGACUAACCUACCCUUGAGUGGGGAAUAACUUCGGGAAACCGAGGCUAAUACCGCAUAACACCUACGGGUCAAAGGAGCAAUUCGCUUAAGGAGGGGGUCGCGGCAGAUUAGUUAGUUGGCAGGGUAAUGGCCUACCAAGACGGUGAUCUGUAUCCGGCCUGAGAGGGCGCACGGACACACUGGAACUGAAACACGGUCCAGACUCCUACGGGAGGCAGCAGUGGGGAAUUUUGCGCAAUGGGGGAAACCCUGACGCAGCAACGCCGCGUGGAGGAUGAAGUCCCUUGGGACGUAAACUCCUUUCGAUCGGGACGAUUAUGACGGUACCGGAAGAAGAAGCCUCGGCUAACUUCGUGCCAGCAGCCGCGGUAAUACGAAGGGGGCAAGCGUUGUUCGGAAUUAUUGGGCGUAAAGGGCGCGUA
rnacentral:rRNA from 1 species